CCUACGGGCGGCAGCAGUCGAGAAUCAUUCACAAUGGGGGAAACCCUGAUGGUGCGACGCCGCGUGGGGGAAUGAAGGUCUUCGGAUUGUAAACCCCUGUCAUGUGGGAGCAAAUUAAAAAGAUAGUACCACAAGAGGAAGAGACGGCUAACUCUGUGCCAGCAGCCGCGGUAAUACAGAGGUCUCAAGCGUUGUUCGGAAUCACUGGGCGUAAGGCGUGCGUAGGCGGUUUCGUAAGUCGUGUGUGAAAGGCGCGGGCUCAACCCGCGGACGGCACAUGAUACUGCGAGACUAGAGUAAUGGAGGGGGAACCGGAAUUCUCGGUGUAGCAGUGAAAUGCGUAGAUAUCGGGAGGAACACUCGUGGCGAAGGCGGGUUCCUGGACAUUAACUGACGCUGAGGCACGAAGGCCAGGGGAGCGAAAGGGAUUAGAUACCCGAGUAGUC
rnacentral:rRNA from 1 species